GGCAGCAGAACACAACAGACACUAGUAUGGCAAUAUGUAAAUCAAUGGAUGUGUAACUGAUGUGAUUCUGCAAUCUGUAUAUGGGGUAAAAAUGGGAGUUCAUAACCCACUUGAAUCAAAGUGUGAAAUAUGAUAUAUCAAGAAAUUUGUAAUGUUUUGAACAACCAACAAUAAAAAAAAUUUUAAAAAACCUGUAAGAAAAAAUAAAAUAAAAUAAAAUACCAGAUAGGAUUUAUGCUUUGUAGGCUACAUGCAACUCUGUAUUCCUCUUAUUUUCUUUACAUACCUUUGAAAAUGUAAAAAACAAUUAUCCUGCAAGUCAUAAAAAGCAGGUUGGAUGCCCAUGGGUUAGACUAUUUUGAACCAAGAAGAUCCCAGUUGAAGUGGCUUAACAUGUAAAAGGUUUAUUCUUGCUCACAUCACUGUCCAGUGCAGGUCAGUGGCCCUCCAGAGCAGCUUUAAUCUGUGUGGUAACUUAGGGAUACAGGAUGCCUUCAUCUUCUCAGGUCACCAUCUAUGCCAUCCCGAUUUUUUUUUUUUUUGUACUGUAGAUUGAACUCAGGGACAGUUAACCACUGAGCCACAUCCCCAGCCCUAUUUUGUAUUUUAUUUAGAGACAGGAUCUCACUGAAUUGCUUAGCACCUUAGCUGUGAACUCCCAAUCUUCCUGCCUCAGCCUCCUGAGCCACUGGGAUUACAGGCAUGUGCUACCAUGCCCAGCUCCCAGCCCAUUCUUUUUUUUAUUCUUAGAUUUAUUUUCCAAAAUGCAAUUUAUAUGUUCUUAUAUGUAAAAAGCAACCUUAAUUACAACAUGAAAUAACCAUAUUAUUUGCUUUCUCCAGUUACAAAUACAUAUAAAUCUAUUAAAUGUAAUGUUAGAUGUAUGCUUUCUCUCUAUUAUGUGAUUGCUCCUCUCUUUUAAAGGUACAGGCCUUAAGGACAAGAUGGGCUCCUGGAGGCAAGUGUGUGGGGUGAACCCUAUGGACUGACUUCAGUGCCUACUGUGGGCACUGACCCUGAUCUGACCCCUGCCACUCAGCAGUGCACCUGGGGAACAUCUAGCAUGCCAAGUCCUCAUCUAGAGAGAUGCCCCAGGAACUAUCGCCAAAUCCACUUCUCUUGAUCCUCCUGGGACAGCAUAGUGAUCCAAGUUGAAUUGGGGCAAAUACUCGGUUCUCAAAUUCAAUAGAUGUGGAGGUAAAUUCCAGUCUCAUUUCGGCAGUGCCCAAGAACUAAGUACCUACAUGAGUCAGUCCACAGUGGCUGAGCAUCAUCUAUCCCUGGGAUAUCAGGCUCAGUUUGCCACUGAGCAGACAACUGGAAAGCCCACCUUGUUUGUCAUCCUAUAUAGGUGAACUUGUAAUUCCAGCAACUCAACUCACAGAGUGAAUACUGAUCCAGAAAAUUGCACAGCCACCCUGGGCUUGAGCCACUGACUUGUGGGGUAUCAAGGAUUGGUCACAGAACAGUGAGAACCCAUACAGACAUGGCAUCUCAUUUCACAGACCGGAAAACCAGAAAGAGGAAGGCACUUACCCAAGGUCACACAACCUUGAGCAUUUGCAUAAACAUAAAAUGUGAUACAUCACAUCACAUUUGGAGGCAGGAGACCUGGCCCCAGUCUUGUGCUGCCACUUUCUAGAUAUGACCCAGAGAACACAGCAUCCAAGUUGCCAUCUUGGAAGCAGAUUCUGGUUCUCACCAGACACAGAGACUGUUGGCACCUUGAUCUUGGACUUCCCAGCCUCCAGAACUGAGAGAAGUAAAUUUUUUUCCUUUAUAAGUUAUCCAGUCUGUGGUAUUCUGUUACAGCAGCAUAAACAAACUAGUACAAUAGCAGUUGUUUCAAAUACUUGCUUUCAAAAUUAUACUAUUUUCUUUUUUUCUUGGAAGUGAAGCUCUUUUUCAAAUUCCACUUUUAAAGUUUAAUAUUCUUUUACUCUAGAUGUGUCCCCUUUCCCCUUAUUAUUUCAUAUAUUUUGUCUGUGGCACAAAGCUGACAUUCUUUUCCUCUCUUAAUACAAGUCAUAAUAGCAUCUAAUUAACACCCCAGCUAUCCUCAGGCAGUGGUGGAAACCUUUCCAUCUGGUGUCCUAUUAUAGCUGCCUCCCCUUUUGCUCAUCUAUGUUCCUCUUAGCUUUAUUUUGUGCCCUUCGAAUCAUCUUCCUAAAACACAAAAUUCCACGUUGGCCAAAAAUUAGUUUAGAAAAUAGAUGAUGCUCUGUCUUCAACUCUAAAGUCCUGCCAUCCCUCUUAUCCAGAGCUGACACAGUUAAACAUCAAGCAGUACCAUAUGCUCCCGGCUGGGGAGACCUGGGUUUCAUCAUUCCCUCUAAAAGGUAGGUUAGUUUCCCCAGCUUCUUUAUUUUUCCAUUAAAAAAGGGAACUUUAUCUAGGUUCAAAGGGAAUUCAGACUUCUGCAUUUGGAAGGGGGCAAUAAUUGAAUGAUAGAUGCCUUUCUUUUUUUUAACCAAUUGAGGGAAGUUGUGGAAAUUGAGACUAUCUUUUCUGAGUUUAUUGUGCAUUUUAUGUAUUUUAAAAUAUUAAUUAAAUAUUUUAAUGUAUGUGUGGGUAGUUAAAUAUGACCAGAGAUUUUAAGCCCCUCUCACUAAGAGGCAAAAUCUAUUUUUUCUAUCCUUUGAAUCUGUGUUAGCCUUGUGACUUUCUUUGAACAAUAUGUGCCUAAAUUGACCCCCUGUGAGUUCAGGGACCCAGAUCUUAAAAGAAUCUAUAGCUUCUGCUUUUGUUUAUUGAAAUUCUGUCCUGAAUAUGCUACACAGGAAGCCAGUGCGAGGCUGAGAGGCCACCUGGAGAACCAAGCUGCUCCAGCUGACAUGCAGCACCAACUGCCAGCCAUGAGUGAGACCAUUUUAGAUCUUCCAGCUCAGUUAAGCUCCAGCUGAAAGCAACCCGCACACAUGAGCCCUGUAUCAGAUUUUUGAGGUUUAUCCAUGUUGGUGCAGGAGGAAAAACACUGGAAUCUGCUCUUGGGAAAGUGAAAUGCUCACCCUCUGGGAAUCAAUCACAGGAAUCAGGAUCAUCCAAGGGAACAAUGGAAUCAUUAUGACCCAUUUCACACUCAUUCCAGAGCAGACACAAAGUCAGCUUCCCCUUAUCUCUCUCUCCCCUCCCCUUCUCUCUCCCCCUUCCUUAAAUGUGUGCACAUGAGCUCAUUAUACUGUAAUGCUGUCUUACAUUACAAAGCAGAAGUCAGAGUCUAUAUUGUAUAGCUCAGUAUUGUCCAACUGAAAUGUAAUGUGAGUCAUAUGUAUAAUUUUAAAUGUCCUAUUCUAAAAAGUUUUGUCAUGUUCUAAAAAGUGAAAAGAAAUAGAUAAAUGAACUUUUAUAUUUUUCAUUUGACCCAAUAUGUCUAAAAUAUUAUCCAUAUGUAUUACACAUUCAACAUGUAAUCAGUAUAAAAUUAUUAAUGAGAUUGUUUAUUUUUUCAUUUGAAGUAUUCAAAAUCUGAUAUGUAUCUUACUGUUAUUAUCCUCAAGUUAAUUUGGAUUAAUUGCACGUCAAGAGCUCAGUAGUCUCAGGUGACUGAUAGCUACAAUUUUAGCACAGAGGGCCUUAAAAAUCUAACCUGAAAACACACACUGCGCAGUCCUUGACAUUCCAGUCUUCUCAUUGGUAAUUGAACAUUGUGAGGAGUUCGACUCUCCUAUGAGACUAGAAGGGUCUGUGCAGAGGGGUGUCCAGGGCUAUUGGGAUGGUUUAACUGAAGCAGCACCUGCUGGGUUGGCCAGUCUGGCAGGAGGCUCCAGUACCAUCAGCCUUUACAUAAUCUAGGGAAGGUCACUUAACGUUCUAAGCUCUGUGGGACUCAGUUUUUCUCUAUAUGAAAGUGAGGGUGAGCCCCUGUGGCGCUGACUAUAUUGCUGGUUCCAUCUUCCAUUGCCAAUCUGACUUGGGGUUAAGGAUAGUGGCUGGUGUUCCACCGAGGGAUGAGCUGCUAUUUAUCUUCCUAACAUAGAGAACCAGAGAGCCUUUCAUUGGAAACAGACUCCUAUAAGAUCCCAGGGAGCCUUAGUGUAAACCUUUGUUCUUUGAAGAGGACCUUGACUCUGCCCAAGGCCAGACUGGCACCAUAGAAGUCCACAGUCAGAAAGAACCACAAACCAACUCCCCUGGGUGGCAUGGUCUAGGCAGCGCUUUAUUUAGAUAAUCCACAUAGAGAUGCCACAGUUUGGUCUGGACAUAUGAUUAUAUGGUUUUCAUGCCACGUAGCCUUAAAGGAAAUCAAGAGUGCUGACAAAACCCUGGUUUACACCAAAUUCACUGUGCCCUGACUCAGUUUCCCUUUUUAUCAACAAGGUAGUAUAAUUAGUACUUAUGAUGUAGGUAUAAUGAUUCUAUCCUGGUUCCCAAGUCCCUUCUUAAAGAAACACAAAACUCUAAGGAAAGCUUUCUUCCUAACACAACAGUCAGGAGGGGCCACUUGUCAGGGCAUUCAGGUCCUAGGAUCCUGGCAAAUUGUCAUUGGAAAUAAACCUGAAUUAAUAUGGUCCUAUAACUCCUUGUAUUAUCUUUUUAAAUAGACACAUACCACCUAAUGACCUCCUUUCCUGAUGGGCAUGGUGGUAUGCAUCUGCAGUCCCAGCAAAUCCAAGGCUGAGGCAGGAGGAUCACUCGAGCCCAGGAAUGUGGGGCCAGCCUGGGGAACAUAGCAAGACCCUGUCUCUUAAAACAAACAAACAAAAUACAAAAGUUAGUUUCUUUCUGAGAGCUCUGGAAUAUUUUUGGUUUGAUUCUUCAGUGUCGUAAGAUUUAUUUUCAGGUGUUACUUUUAAUUUCAAAAGCGAUUUAUAACUCGAUUUAAUUUUAAAAGUUUCAUAAACACACGUGCACGCACACACACACACCCCUAGAACAAAUUCAUAUACUACAAAAGGGUAUUUAAUAAAAAGUAAAUGUCUACUUCAUUCUAGCCAAACAUCAACACGUUCCCAGUUUGCUGUGUAUCAUUUUAGAGCUAUUCUAUGCAUAAAACAUGUAUUUUCAGACUUUAUUUUUUUUAAAAAAAGAUGUGCUGUUUAAUUUUAAAGCUACUUUAACUCAAGACAAGGUAAAAAGGUAAGGAACUGUGGAUUAAAAAAGAAAAGGGCCUGGGGUAUAAUUGUUUUAAAUGAUGUGUUGAUGUGUUGAGUUUAAAAAUAUUUUGAUGCGUUCCAAUGCAUGGAAAACAAGAUGCUGUGAAUCAUUGUCUUGAAUAAACUGUCCAAUAUGA